rnacentral:rRNA from 1 species
UUUGGAUGUAAAGUGUUAAAAACUAGAGUAGUAUUAGUGUAAGGUCUUGAAACUUAAAGAAUUUGGCGGUAUUUUAGUCCAUUUAGAGGAAUCUGUUCCGUGAUCGAUAAUCCGCGCUGGACCUUACUUAAAUUGACUUAGUAUGUAUACCGCUGUUGUUGAAAAUCUUUGUAGAGUUGUAAUUUUUAUAAUUUUUAUUUAAUAGUGUUUCAGGUCAAGGUGCAGCUUAUAUUUAAGUGGUAAUGGAUUACAAUAUUUGUAUAUAAACGAAUUAUUGAUUGAUAGAAUUAAUAUGAAGGUGGAUUUAAUAGUAAUAUUAUUUAGAAUAUUAAUAUGAUUAAUGGCUCUAUAGUAUGU